GACGUAGGGUGCGAGCGUUGUCCGGAUUUAUUGGGCGUAAAGAGCUCGUAGGCGGCUCGUCGCGUCAGCUGUGAAAACCCGCAGCUUAACUGUGGGCUUGCAGCUGAUACGGGCGGGCUAGAGUUCGGUAGGGGAGACUGGAAUUCCUGGUGUAGCGGUGAAAUGCGCAGAUAUCGGGAAGAACACCCGUGGCGAAGGCGGCUCUCUGGGACGGUACUGACGCUGAGACGCGAAAGCGUGGGGAGCGAACAGG
rnacentral:rRNA from 1 species